UUGGCCCUGGUCCGACAUCAGAUAUUGUGCACCUCAACUCAUGAAAAAUACAUACGUUGAGGGUGGCUAUGAAAGAGGAAACGGAAAGAAAUGGGUAAAAAAGAGUUUGUUUAAAAGAAUUAAAGAGAAAAGAAAAAACAAAUAGAAGAAGAUGUGACUUUGUUCAAAAGAGGGAAAAAAAUUAAUGACAAAAGUGUUAUAAGAAACAAAGAAAACUAAAACUUGAAAUUCAUAUCUACUAUGUGUGAAAAAUGAUUUCUUUUGAAAUGAGGGC
rnacentral:lncRNA from 1 species